rnacentral:tRNA from 1 species
GGAAUUGUGGCUCAGAAGUAAGAGCACUUGCCUGGCAUGUAUGAGGACCUGGGUUCAAUUCUCAGUACCA